rnacentral:rRNA from 1 species
AGAGUUUGAUCCUGGCUCAGGACGAACGCUGGCGGCGUGCUUAACACAUGCAAGUCGAACGGAAAGGCCCUUCGGGGUACUCGAGUGGCGAACGGGUGAGUAACACGUGGGUGAUCUGCCCUGCACUUUGGGAUAAGCCUGGGAAACUGGGUCUAAUACCGAAUAUGACCAUGCGCCUCCUGGUGUGUGGUGGAAAGCUUUUGCGGUGUGGGAUGGGCCCGCGGCCUAUCAGCUUGUUGGUGGGGUAAUGGCCUACCAAGGCGACGACGGGUAGCCGGCCUGAGAGGGUGACCGGCCACACUGGGACUGAGAUACGGCCCAGACUCCUACGGGAGGCAGCAGUGGGGAAUAUUGCACAAUGGGCGCAAGCCUGAUGCAGCGACGCCGCGUGAGGGAUGACGGCCUUCGGGUUGUAAACCUCUUUCAGCACAGACGAAGCGCAAGUGACGGUAUGUGCAGAAGAAGGACCGGCCAACUACGUGCCAGCAGCCGCGGUAAUACGUAGGGUCCGAGCGUUGUCCGGAAUUACUGGGCGUAAAGAGCUCGUAGGUGGUUUGUCGCGUUGUUCGUGAAAUCUCACGGCUUAACUGUGAGCGUGCGGGCGAUACGGGCAGACUUGAGUACUGCAGGGGAGACUGGAAUUCCUGGUGUAGCGGUGGAAUGCGCAGAUAUCAGGAGGAACACCGGUGGCGAAGGCGGGUCUCUGGGCAGUAACUGACGCUGAGGAGCGAAAGCGUGGGGAGCGAACAGGAUUAGAUACCCUGGUAGUCC